rnacentral:misc_RNA from 1 species
GGUGAAACUUUUCGAAUCGAGGAUUCAUCGUUAUUCAGGAUCCUUCUCGUUAUUGUAAUGCUUCAGAACAGAAAAAGAACAAAAAAUAAUAAAAAGAAACAGACAGAAACUUGUGACGAGCAUAGAGUGAAAGAAAGGGUAAGGGGAAAAUAAAAAGUGGACUUUCAGGAUGCAAAAUCGCAUAGAGAAGUGACGUUAUAAUAGUACCUCUUGUAUGGGAGCCAACUGCUGCGCGAACCCUGACCGCUACACGGCACACAACAAACGCACACUUACUAUUUCUAUCAUUUUAACGACGAGAUUUCAGAUUGAAAGUUUCGAAAAUGAGAGUUUAUCGAUUAAAAAUUUAAUAUGCAAGUGGAGGAAGGUAAGCAGUAAAUUUGUAAUAUUCCAACAUUCGCUUUGCUAUUUCUAUCUUUUCUGAUAAUAUAGCGAAAGAAUAGAGGAGGUAUUGAGAAAACGAUCUUUCUGUAAUGACUGCGAUUACCUGUUGCGCCGCGUUUUGCAGAUUCAGCAACGGUUCCGAGCUUCUUUUCAGGAACAGUCGGAUCUUGUUUUCCUUCGGCGGUGGUUCCUUCUUACGCUGUGGACUGGGUGCUUGGUAAAACAUUUUUUGAAACACCCUAUAGAAACAAAGAAUACAUUAUUUCAUCUUUACUGUAUUUAUAUUUAUCUAAAUAUCGUGAUAGCAAUCUUUUUAACUGUUGUAAUAAAUAAUAUUAGAAGAGUGUCGUUAUUGUAAUAAUACGUACUACUUAAACAUCAAGAUUACCCUUGCACGAAAGAAAUAAAUUGAUCGUAGCAUUAAUCGCGAUACGAACCUACUUCUGGCUGCUAAAACAGCCUUCACAGCGCAAAUGGGCUCUUUUGUUUCACCGACGAGGAAGGUCACGUCGCAUAGUUCCGGCAUGCUAGCCAGAAACUUCAUGUCCUCGGCCAAGCCGGUCUUAUUCUCGAAAAUCGAAUAAUCCGACUCAUCGGCCACUUCUGACCCUGACGCCUCCGGCAUCGAGCUGAUAUUUUCCUGGAAAACAUUUCACGUAACGCAUGUUCCAUUAAAAAAUUUCAUAAGGUAUAAUUUUCUUCUUCUUUCGUCGUGAAAUUCCUUUUCUUUUCUUGUUUCACACAACGAAAAAAGAAAAAACGAUAUAAAGACAUACAAGAGUUUUGUUAUUGAAAUAUGGCAUCUUUAGUAUUUUAGAAUAAAAUGAUUGAAACUUAAAUUCGCGCACGCGUUGUAAUAUAUUCCACGUGAUAAAACGAAAGCUUUCUAAGUGUUAGGAGAGAUAUAUUUGGAUGACUAUGAGAAAGUUUGCUGAUAUAUUCUGAACAACUUUGCGAAUGAUAAACAAGCUUCAGCUAACCUGUGAU